AACGAGCCAGCGACUAUUCCCUCGCUAGUCUCGGACGGAAACCGAGGACGCUAAGAGCCGACCUAAACGUCGACGCCGGCUCUUCCUCCGUCGAAAACGGAUCAGCUGCGUCUCCCUCCCCAAAUCCACGCCGAAUCGUCUUCCCUCCGAGCGUUCGCGCGCCCCUCCCCAUGAAGCACGCCAAUUCUCCUGCUAAAUCCUUCCCGCGCCAAUCUUCCCUCCCCCCUUGCGACUGCACUCUCCCUCCUCUUUCCCUUUAUUUUCCCCUCCAAUCACUUGUUUCGUUAAUCUGCUUGCUAGCCAUAGCUAUUGCUGGACGGGUCCAGUUCUUCGCUCACUACUCGGGCCUGCUGUCGACGAAGCCCGCGGCGACGAAGACGUUCCCCACGUCGACGACGACCCGCGCGGCAAGAUGAACCACCGGUCCAAGCGAGAAGUAGCUCCGUUGCCGCAAACUUCGUCUGGAUCUGCAGAUGCUCCUGGGUGUAUCUACAACACCAUCUUGGUGGAAUGGUCCUAUGCUACAAACCAACUCGUUUGGCUCUGCACCUGUAGAUCGUGGCAGAUGCUAUUAUUGGUUGUUUUGCGAGCUGUCAUAUGCUGUCAGGAGGCCUACAUUGUCUAAGUUUUGCUGAUUUUCACUCGUGUCUGAAGUUGUUGUCCCGCAUUUGGAGGUCUUGUUCAACGAAUGCAGCUUGUUAUAACUUUUGUUUAAGAAAUGCAAUUAGCACUUGUAUAUCCAGCUUCUGUCCAUCUCUUCUAUCUCUGUUGUGAUAAUGAUAUUCCUAUAACGCUACCUAGUUGUCAUAGUACAUGGACUUCAGCUGUAGGUAGAAUUGCACUUUGCCGUACUACUGUGAUGAGCUAAUGAUUCAUACUAUCUAGACUGUUGAGAUGUUUAA